GGCUUGUGAAGGAAGACACCCAAAAAGUCACUUAAGCCUAUUUUUACCCCCAUUAGACCCGUCGGCUUCCAAGGCAAGCAAAAGGGAACAAAAGUUCCCCAAGUCCCUCACCGUGCGACACUACCAUUCUUCUUUCCCACUUCCAUUCUCCUUCCAACCUUAAGCCAAAGCACCUAUUAUUUCUUCUUGUCAAGAGGAAAAUAGCAAGCCAAGGAUUUCGUCUGUUCUCUAGUUCCCCAAGCCGAACCUACCUUUCCUCUUCUCCAUUUUGUGUUUUUGGGAAGGGAUUCACCAAAGGUAUAAACCCUAAGUGGAACUCCAUUUGAUUGGGAUGUUGUUUUGAGGCUAAUCGAAUCAUGAUGUCUUUAGUAGAAAGCUUGUGUUCCAGAUUUUGUUCUUUAUCCCUUCAUGUUUAAUUUCUCAUACAUAUGCUCUGUUUUGGCUUAAUCGUGUAUAUUUAUGAGAGCUAUUUUGUGU